rnacentral:rRNA from 1 species
CAUUAUUGAAUAGAAAUUGGGGUGUGAGGCUGGUGCUGGUUCUGACUUUUGGACAUGUGCACGUCUCUUGCUCUUUUCUUUGGAUUUUCCACCUGUGCACGAUUGUGGACAUUUGAUGUCCAUGUUGUCUAUUUUUAAAAUACAUCUGAUGUCCAGAGAAUGUAAAAGAUGAUAAGUGAAAAAUUAUAUGACAACUUUCAACAAUGGAUCUCUUGGCUCUCGCAUCGAUGAAGAACGCAGCGAAAUGCGAUAAGUAAUGUGAAUUGCAGAAUUCAGUGAAUCAUCGAAUGUUUGAACGCAUCUUGCGCUCCUUGGCAUUCCUCGGAGUAUGUCUGUUUGAGUGUCGAUUAACUAUCAAAACCAUUGAUACUGACUCGGUGUUGAGUGGUUUUGGAAUGUGGGAACUGGUGGUCCUAAAACGGGUCGGGGCCAGCUGUCCUGAAAUGUAAUUGCUGCACCUGACCGGGGGAGCAACUUCACUGAUGUGAUAAAAUAUUUUGAUCAUCGGAGGAAGAGAACGGCGGAGCAGGGAAAAUGGUAAUAUUGGGAGGGGGGAGGAAAUUAUUUAGAAUUUGACCUCAAAUCAGGCAGGAUUACCCGCUGAACUUAAGCAUAUCAAUAAGCGGAGGAAAAGAAACUAACGAGGAUUCCCCUAGUAACUGCGAGUGAAGCGGGAAAAGCUCAAAUUUAAAAUCUGGCGGCAGAUGGUCGUCCGAAUUGUAACCUCGAGAAGUGAAGCCCGCACUGGACCAUGUACAAGUCUCCUGGGAUGGAGCGUCAGAGAGGGUGAGAAUCCCGUGCGUGGCAUGGAGCACCAGUGCAGUGUGGUUCGCUCUCAAAGAGUUGAGUUGUUUGGGAAUGCAGCUCGAAAUGGGUGGUAAAUUCCAUCUAAAGCUAAAUAUUGGCGAGAGACCGAUAGCGAACAAGUACCGUGAGGGAAAGAUGAAAAGAACUUUGGAAAGAGAGUUAAAUAGUACGUGAAAUUGUUGAAAGGGAAACGCUUGAAGUCAGUCGCGUUGGUCGGGGAUCAGUCCUGCAGUUAUGCUGGAUGGAAUUCCUGGUCGAUGGGUCAUCAUGAGUUUUGAGCACUGGAGAAAGGCUUGGGGAAUGUGACACCUGUGGGUGUGUUAUAGCUCCAAGUCGUAUACAGUGGUUGAGACUGAGGAAAGCAACGCGCCUUUUGGCAGGG